rnacentral:lncRNA from 1 species
CAGGAGUUUGCCGGAAGUCCGCAGGAGCAUCACCGAGGGUUCAUCGGAUUAUCGACGGAAGUUCACCGGAAGCUCGCUGGAAGAAGCGAUUGACUCACCGGAGCAAGCUGUCCUUCGAAUUGUCGUAGUUAGCACGUUGAUUAAGUUAGAAAUGGGAGGUGAUCCCACUAACUUAAUCUUGGGGCAAUUGGGCCCUUGAAAGACCCAAUUGGGGCCGAAUGGAUCAGCCCAUUCGGACCUAGAUGACUUGGCCA